CCUACGGGAGGCAGCAGUGGGGAAUAUUGCACAAUGGGCGCAAGCCUGAUGCAGCGACGCCGCGUGAGGGAUGACGGCCUUUGGGUUGUAAACCUCUUUCAGCAGGGAAGAAGCGCAAGUGACGGUACCUGCAGAAGAAGCACCGGCUAACUACGUGCCAGCAGCCGCGGUAAUACGUAGGGUGCGAGCGUUGUCCGGAAUUAUUGGGCGUAAAGAGCUUGUAGGCGGUUUGUCGCGUCUGCCGUGAAAAUCCGGGGCUCAACCCCGGACUUGCGGUGGGUACGGGCAGACUAGAGUGUGGUAGGGGAGACUGGAAUUCCUGGUGUAGCGGUGAAAUGCGCAGAUAUCAGGAGGAACACCGAUGGCGAAGGCAGGUCUCUGGGCCAUUACUGACGCUGAGAAGCGAAAGCAUGGGGAGCGAACAGGAUUAGAUACCCUGGUAGUCCAUGCCGUAAACGUUGGGAACUAGGUGUGGGCCUCAUUCCACGAGGUCCGUGCCGCAGCUAACGCAUUAAGUUCCCCGCCUGGGGAGUACGGCCGCAAGGCUAAAACUCAAAGGAAUUGACGGCUGAGACGNGCGAGCGACGACGAGGGAGAG
rnacentral:rRNA from 1 species